UUCAGGGCUACUUCUUGUCCCUUCACCUGCAUCAUCACCGGCCUCUUUUACCCAUACCCAUCAGCCUGAUAUGAAAUCCUAAAGUCCGAACUCCGCGAUCUGCGAUCUGAAAAUCGGUUGUAAGUUGACUGUAGCAUAUGCCGGUGACUGCUAAUCUACGUGAAUCAACAAUGGGAAUCCCCUUAUGCUAGUCCGAUAUAUAAAGCCCGUCAGUACAGUCGAAACUAUCAGAUUGUGUCAGCUGGCUGUGGGAUACACAUGUGUGAAGUAGAGGCAUAAUUACAGACAGCAUGGGUAAUAUUGUUUCAUGCUGGCCAAUAUCCCGAUAUCAGGUGGGUCAAGAUGUUAUGUAUACAUAUGUAUAUAGGCAUAUUUCACAUGCUUUCCCUAUUCGAACUUUAGCGUGUCAAUAUGUGUAAUGCGUGUGUACAUGUUCACGUGAAUUUGUCAUUGCAUUGUCUUGUUUAGUUUAUGUAAGAUUAUCUUUAUUGUUUUAUUGCUGUGAUGGCGUAGCUAUCAAUCGUGUUUGAAACUGUGUUUAUUCGAUUCCAGAGGCGGUCCAACACAGAGAACUCGAUAAACUGCCAAAAUGAACCCAAUCUGACAGAGAGAGUUACAUUGCCAACACACUGGAACCAUGCAUAUGCUGUAAAUGGCGAGAUGUUGGAUACUCCAGUAUCUGGAAGAGAUCUCAGUCUUGUUGCAAGUCACAUCGGGAUCGGGUUCGAGUCUGUUGGCAUCGAACUUGGACUUACUCUCGUGGUUAUCGAACAAGUCACGUUUGCACACCCUUAUUCACUAUACAUGCAGGUUGUGCACAUGCUUACAAAGUGGAAGGAGAAGAACGGGAGAACUGCAACCAGCCUGGUCCUUGUCAGAGCACUGUGGAGAUGCAAUGACAGGUGUACCAUUGAGUGGGAGGACAUUCUCAACAUCCUUCAGGGACCGUCCACUGUGUCUGUGUAAUCAAGUCGGAGAGCUGUUUUCACAUGACGCUGUCUUGCUUUACGCUGUGAAUACAUGAGUGGGUAUAUAAGUAAUGCUUCACUGAGUUUCCCCGACCACAUACAGAGAAAUCAUGCCUACAUUUAUGUUAUCUCAUAUACUAGCGCUGCACUGAACACUCUUCUCAUGUACAGUUAUCAUUGAUUGAUUGGGUUCCCGCUUUGAAAUAUCGAGUCGAGAUGCUAGGUUCACUGAGGCUUAUUUAGAUAAUUUGGGAUCCUGACUGAUCGGAAUGAUUUUCUGUUUCCUCAAGUUGCACACUGAACACUCUUCAUUUAAACAGUAAUAUCUUUUCCGUUUGUAAUACAUUGUGAUUCUAUUUGUAUGUGUUGAGAAUAAAUGCUUUUAAUAAAUAGC